UACAGAGGGGGCAAGCGUUGUUCGGAAUUACUGGGCGUAAAGGGCGCGUAGGUGGCCUUCUAAGUUGAACGUGAAAUCCCUGGGCUCAACCCAGGAACUGCGUCCGAUACUGGCAGGCUUGAAUUCGGGAGAGGGAUGCGGAAUUCCAGGUGUAGCGGUGAAAUGCGUAGAUAUCUGGAGGAACACCGGUGGCGAAGGCGGCAUCCUGGACCGGCAUUGACGCUGAGGAGCGAAAGCCAGGGGAGCAAAGCGGG
rnacentral:rRNA from 1 species